CCCAGCAGCUAUAUCACGCAGAAAUUAACAACUGGCAGCCCCACUGCAGCUCAGCAGGUGUGAGCCUGGCCAGUACCUGGAUGGGAGACCUCCUGGGAAAACUAAGGUUGCUGCUGGAA
rnacentral:rRNA from 1 species